rnacentral:lncRNA from 1 species
UUUUUUGAAAUGAAAAUGGAAUAAAAGAAAUAAAAUGAAAAUUGAAAUAAAAAAUAAAAAUGGAAAAAACGUGAGGCGUAGGAUCUAAGCUCAUUAAUUGAGCUGGAAAAUCAGAUUUGGAUCACAUGCGCGCAUCCACCAAACACUUAAGUCAACUGAGCAACAUGUGGCAUUAAAAAAGUCAUAAGAAAGAAGGAUCCAGAUUAGAUCUGGAAAAUGCAUCGUGUGGCCAUGAUUUGAUCUGGAAUUGGGACGGUGGUGUACACCACCGUCUUCUCCGGCGAGACCUCCAACGCCGGUGAGAGUUGCA